rnacentral:rRNA from 1 species
CGGCAAAAGCUCAAAUUUGAAAUCUGGAGCCUUUGGCUUCCGAGUUGUAAUUUGAAGAGGGUGUUUCGGUUGCGGCCCUGGCCUAAGUUCCUUGGAACAGGACGUCAUGGAGGGUGAGAAU